rnacentral:lncRNA from 1 species
GCGAGUUACAGCUUUCGAGGCUGAUGUAACCAGUAAUUGAGAAAGACUUUAAUUAACCGCCGGUAUUAAACCAGUGAUAAACACUGGGGCCACACGUUU